CAGCCGCCGCGGUAAAACAGAGGGUGCGAGCGUUAAUCGGAUUUACUGGGCGUAAAGCGUGCGUAGGCGGCUAAUUGAGUCGGAUGUGAAAUCCCCGAGCUUAACUUGGGAAUUGCAUUCGAUACUGGUUAGCUAGAGUGUGGGAGAGGAUGGUAGAAUUCCAGGUGUAGCGGUGAAAUGCGUAGAGAUCUGGAGGAAUACCGAUGGCGAAGGCAGCCAUCUGGCCUAAUACUGACGCUGAGGUACGAAAGCAUGGGGAGCAAACAGGAUUAGAUACCCCUGUAGUCCCUGUCUCUUAUAC
rnacentral:rRNA from 1 species